rnacentral:rRNA from 1 species
UACGAAGGGGGCGAGCGUUGUUCGGAAUUACUGGGCGUAAAGGGCGCGUAGGCGGCGACUCUAGUCAGAUGUGAAAGUCCCGGGCUUAACCUGGGGACUGCAUUUGAUACUGGGUUGCUUGAAUUCGGGAGAGGAUAGCGGAAUUCCCAGUGUAGAGGUGAAAUUCGUAGAUAUUGGGAAGAACACCGGUGGCGAAGGCGGCUAUCUGGACCGACAUUGACGCUGAGGCGCGAAAGCGUGGGGAGCAUACAGG